AUUGAACGCUGGCGGCAGGCUUAACACAUGCAAGUCGAGCGGGGUGAUGGUGCUUGCACUAUCACUUAGCGGCGGACGGGUGAGUAAUGCUUAGGAAUCUGCCUAUUAGUGGGGGACAACAUCUCGAAAGGGAUGCUAAUACCGCAUACGUCCUACGGGAGAAAGCAGGGGAUCACUUGUGACCUUGCGCUAAUAGAUGAGCCUAGGUCGGAUUAGCUAGUUGGUGGGGUAAAGGCCUACCAAGGCGACGAUCUGUAGCGGGUCUGAGAGGACGAGACGCCACACUGGGACGAAGACACGGCACAGACUGCUACGGGAGGCAGCAGUGGGGAAUAUUGGACAAUGGGGGGAACCCUGAUCCAGCCAUGCCGCGUGUGUGAAGAAGGCCUUAUGGUUGUAAAGCACUUUAAGCGAGGAGGAGGCUCUUUUGGUUAAUAACCAAGAUGAGUGGACGUUACUCGCAGAAUAAGCACCGGCUAACUCUGUGCCAGCAGCCGCCGUAA
rnacentral:rRNA from 1 species